rnacentral:rRNA from 1 species
UACGGAGGGGGCUAGCGUUAUUCGGAAUUAUUGGGCGUAAAGGGCGUGUAGGCGGCUUCGUAAGUCUUGUGUGAAAGCCCUCGGCUCAACCGAGGAAUUGCACGAGAAACUGCGUGGCUCGAGUCCGGGAGAGGAUAGUGGAAUUCCCAGUGUAGCGGUGAAAUGCGUAGAUAUUGGGAGGAACACCGGUGGCGAAGGCGGGUUGCUGGGCUGAUACUGACGCUGAGGCGCGAAAGCCAGGGGAGCGAACGGG